GGGGGCAGACUACACAUGCGAGUCGCAGCGGUAGAGAGGUGCUUGCACCUCUUGAGAGCGGCGGCACGGGUGAGUAAUGCCUAGGAAUCUGCCUGGUAGUGGGGGAUAACGCUCGGAAACGGACGCUAAUACCGCAUACGUCCUACGGGAGAAAGCAGGGGACCUUCGGGCCUUGCGCUAUCAGAUGAGCCUAGGUCGGAUUAGCUAGUUGGUGGGGUAAUGGCUCACCAAGGCGACGAUCCGUAACUGGUCUGAGAGGAUGAUCAGUCACACUGGAACUGAGACACGGUCCAGACUCCUACGGGAGGCAGCAGUGGGGAAUAUUGGACAAUGGGCGAAAGCCUGAUCCAGCCAUGCCGCGUGUGUGAAGAAGGUCUUCGGAUUGUAAAGCACUUUAAGUUGGGAGGAAGGGCAUUAACCUAAUACGUUAGUGUUUUGACGUUACCGACAGAAUAAGCACCGGCUAACUCUGUGCCAGCAGCCGCGGUAAUACAGAGGGUGCAAGCGUUAAUCGGAAUUACUGGGCGUAAAGCGCGCGUAGGUGGUUCGUUAAGUUGGAUGUGAAAGCCCCGGGCUCAACCUGGGAACUGCAUUCAAAACUGUCGAGCUAGAGUAUGGUAGAGGGUGGUGGAAUUUCCUGUGUAGCGCGCGAAAAUGCGUAGAUAUAGGAAGGAAACACCAGUGGCGAAGGCGACCACCUGGACUGAUACUGACACUGAGGUGCGAAAGCGUGGGGGAGCAAACAGGAUUAGAUAACCCUGGUAGUCCACGCCGUAAACGAUGAUCAACUAGACGGUUGCGGAGCCUUGAGCUGCUUAUUGGCCGCAGCUAACGCAUUUAAUUUUGACCGCCAUGGGGUGAGAAACAGCCGGCCAGCGAUUGAAAACUCCCAAUGAAUUUUGACUCGAGCGGCGUCGUCUC
rnacentral:rRNA from 1 species